UGCCAGCCGCCGCGGUAAUACGGAGGGUGCGAACGUUGCUCGGAAUUAUUGGGCGUAAAGCGCGCGUAGGCGGCUUUGUAAGUUGGACGUGAAAGCCCUGAGCUCAACUCAGGAAGUGCGUCCAAAACUACAAGGCUCGAAUCCCGGAGGGGGCCAGAGAAUUCCCGGUGUAGAGGUGAAAUUCGUAGAUAUCGGGAGGAAUACCAGUGGCGAAGGCGCUGGCCUGGACGGUGAUUGACGCUGAGGUGCGAAAGCGUGGGGAGCAAACAGGAUUAGAUA
rnacentral:rRNA from 1 species